rnacentral:lncRNA from 1 species
GGGGAAGGUUGUGUGGGUGGUGCAGCGGCUGCCAACCUUAAGAGAGAGUUUAGGGUUUUGAGAGAAUUUGAGGGUAACAAAACCUACCUUAAAAAUGUUAAAAUCUGCAUUUUUUUUUCUUUUCAAAUAAUAAAUACAUAGAUAGUUUUCACAAGUUUUUAUUUUUAUUUUUUUCAUGAUAUUGCAUUAACUGAAUUGAAGAAUCUGUUGGAGGAAAAAUUAUUCAAGUAGCAAAUAAACCUUUUCAAAUUGCCACAAAAGUCAACAAACUUCAAUUCGAAAAGUUUAAUUUGCUACUACUAGUGGAUAUGCUCUUAAACAUUAGCCAUAUACUCUCCUUCCCCCUCAUUUACCAACCAUUUUCUCUCCCUAACUAUUCAGAACAGCCCCUUCAUAUUUCACCAUUUUUUCUUUCUUUGAAGCCCCCGUUUCUCUCUCUAAAAACAAGAAGAAGUUGAAGGUAACAUAAUUUUGUGAAAUCCCCUAUUUCUUUCUUUAAAACCACCGUUCCCUCUUUAACUUGUACUAUAUAUCGUGGCUUGUUUUUUUGAUACCAGACUAUGCUCUGUUUUCUGGAAAUUGAAGGAGCUGCCGUAGGUUUCUAUUGUGAGCAUUCAAAACGGCAAACUUUUACAUAUCCUAUUCUGUAUAUCCACCUUACAGAAUGAUAUAGAAUGUUAUAAAAAUAAUUCGAAAGGAAUAUCCCUCAGCCUCCUCAUCC